rnacentral:lncRNA from 1 species
AAUCUCCAUUUUUAGACCUUUGGGAGGGGAGGAGUGGUCUGGAGGGUCAGAGUGGCUCUGGAUUUCCUCCUGAAAGGGUGGAGUUUGGAGUUGGUGUCUAGUCAGGAAUGGAAAAAUGGAAGCGUGCUUUGAUAAGUAGAUGAGAAAGGGAAGACACCCUCUAGGGAGGGUUCAGUUUUGCCCUUGUGUGAAGACAUCUGGAAAUGACUGACGUGAAAAGAAAAGUCAUUUUAAAAAAGCAUAACCAAAAAAUAAAAAAAAGAGGAAACCCAGACUCAUUUGAAAGGUGGCUUCUAGAAUCCUUGGACUUGGAUCAAUAGAAAAGUAAUCCCUCAAGGAAGAACUCUCAAGCUUGGGUUUAGAACCUCUCACCAUCUAGAUCACAUAGUUCCUCUCAGCAUAGUCCAGUCAUAUUAUGAAAGAGGGCAUGUGGUUCCCUUGUGCUUUGACCCAGUUAAAGUCCAGAGGAAAGAAGGAAAUAAAUUGCCCAUGAUCACCCAGGGAGCAAGUGGAAGAGCCAUAAUUUGAACCCAUGUUCAAAUUUUUGAACUUUGAGUCUCCAGGAAGAGGGACGGAGAACUGGAGGAUCUAUUAUCAACAUUAUAUGAAGCUGUGUGUCCUUUGGAAUCCCCUUCUUACCCUGACUGGACAAGCACACUGUGGCGACUGGGAAAGAACAAACACAAAAGAUACAAAGGCAACAUGUGUUCAUGGACACCUGGUGGAGAGGUGGGAGAAAUCGGUCUUCUGUUCCUCAGCCUGGCAGUUCAUAGUAGUACUGGCUUCAGGGACACCAGGAAGGAAAAGUACAAAAGUGAGUAGCAUGCUUACCUUUUUGUA